UACGUAGGGCGCAAGCGUUAUCCGGAAUUAUUGGGCGUAAAGGGCUCGUAGGCGGUUUGUCGCGUCGGGAGUGAAACCCAGGGCUUAACCCUGGGCUGGCUUCCGAUACGGGCAGACUAGGGGUAUGCAGGGGAGAACGGAAGUUCCUGGUGUAGCGGUGAAAUGCGCAGAUAUCAGGAGGAACACCGGUGGCGAAGGCGGUUCUCUGGGCAUUACCUGACGCUGAGGAGCGAAAGUGUGGGGAGCGAACAGG
rnacentral:rRNA from 1 species